rnacentral:rRNA from 1 species
GACGAACGCUAGCGGCAGGCCUAAUACAUGCAAGUCGAACGGUGUCUUCGGACAUAGUGGCGCACGGGUGCGUAACACGUAUGCAACCUACCUUACAUUGGGGGAUAGCCUUUCGAAAGGGAGAUUAAUACCGCAUAAGACAGUAGCUGGGCAUCCAGCAGCUGUUAAAGACUUAUCGAUGUAGGCUGGGCAUGCGUCCAAUUAGCUAGUUGGUGAGGUAACGGCUCACCAAGGCAAUGAUUGGUAGGGGAACUGAGAGGUCAAUCCCCCACACUGGCACUGAGAUACGGGCCAGACUCCUACGGGAGGCAGCAGUAGGGAAUAUUGGGCAAUGGACGCAAGUCUGACCCAGCCAUGCCGCGUGCAGGAUGAAGGCGUUAUGCGUUGUAAACUGCUUUUAUACAGGAAGAAACGACUCUUGCGAGAGGCAUUGACGGUACUGUAUGAAUAAGCACCGGCUAACUACGUGCCAGCCGCCGCAGUAACAC